UACGUAGGGGGCAAGCGUUGUCCGGAUUUAUUGGGCGUAAAGAGCGUGUAGGCGGCUUUACAGGUCCGUUGUGAAAACUCGAGGCUCAACCUCGAGACGCCGGUGGAAACCGUAAAGCUAGAGUCCGGAAGAGGAGAGUGGAAUUCCUGGUGUAGCGGUGAAAUGCGCAGAUAUCAGGAGGAACACCCGUGGCGAAAGCGGCUCUCUGGGACGGUACUAGCUGAGACGCGAAAGCGUGGGGAGCAAACAGG
rnacentral:rRNA from 1 species